GACGAACGCUGGCGGCGUGCUUAACACAUGCAAGUCGAACGGAAAGGCCCUGCUUUUGUGGGGUGCUCGAGUGGCGAACGGGUGAGUAACACGUGAGUAACCUGCCCUUGACUUUGGGAUAACUUCAGGAAACUGGGGCUAACACCGGAUAGGAGCUCCUGCUGCAUGGUGGGGGUUGGAAAGUUUCGGCGGUUGGGGAUGGACUCGCGGCUGAUCAGCUUGUUGGUGGGGUAGUGGCUUACCAAGGCGUUGACGGGUAGCCGGCCUGGGAGGGUGACCGGCCACAUUGGGACUGAGAUACGGCCCAGACUCCUACGGGAGGCAGCAGUGGGGAAUAUUGCACAAUGGGCGGAAGCCUGAUGCAGCAACGCCGCGUGCGGGAUGACGGCCUUCGGGUUGUAAACCGCUUUCGCCUGUGACGAAGCGUGAGUGACGGUAAUGGGUAAAGAAGCACCGGCUAACUACGUG
rnacentral:rRNA from 1 species